AUUGAACGCUGGCGGCACGCCUUACACAUGCAAGUCGAACGGCAGCAUGGAGAGCUUGCUCUCUGAUGGCGAGUGGCGAACGGGUGAGUAAUGCAUCGGAACGUACCGUGUAAUGGGGGAUAACGUAGCGAAAGUUACGCUAAUACCGCAUACGACCUGAGGGUGAAAGCAGGGGAUCGCAAGACCUUGCGUUAUACGAGCGGCCGAUGUCAGAUUAGCUAGUUGGUGAGGUAAAGGCUCACCAAGGCGACGAUCAGUAGCGGGUCUGAGAGGAUGAUCCGCCACACUGGGACUGAGACACGGCCCAGACUCCUACGGGAGGCAGCAGUGGGGAAUUUUGGACAAUGGGGGCAACCCUGAUCCAGCCAUGCCGCGCGAGUGAAGAAGGCCUUCGGGUUGUAAAGCUCUUUCGACCGGGAAGAAAUCGCACAGGCUAAUACUCUGUGUGGAUGACGGUACCGGCAUAAGAAGCACCGGCUAACUACGUGCCAGCCGCCGCGGUAA
rnacentral:rRNA from 1 species